UGAGGAAUAUUGCACAAUGGGGGCAACCCUGAUGCAGCGACGCCGCGUGGGUGAUGACGGCCUUCGGGUUGUAAAGCCCUUUUGCCAUUGACGAGAACGGACGGUAGAUGGCGAAUAAGCCUCGGCUAACUACGUGCCAGCAGCCGCGGUAAAACGUAGGAGGCGAGCGUUAUCCGGAGUUACUGGGCGUAAAGCGUGCGCAGGCGGUGCCAUAAGUCAGGUGUGAAAGAUGCCGGCUCAACCGGGAGAACGCGCUUGAGACUGUGGGACUAGAGUGGGAUAGAGGGACGUGGAAUUCCGGGUGGAGCGGUGAAAUGUGUAGAGAUCCGGAGGAACACCAGAGGCGCAAGCGGCGUCCUGGGUCCCAACUGACGCUGAGGCACGAAAGCUUGGGGAGCGA
rnacentral:rRNA from 1 species